UAGAUUUGUAGUGCCCGCAGAUUUCAACACACUUGAACAAAAUUGUGGAUUUGAGGUUUUUGGACAGAUGGUGGAAACGACGUCAUUAGAUGAUGCCACAUUUGAAAUGAUGGUGAACGAAAGAACUCCAACGAGAGAGAUAAUAAUGAGACAAGAGUUAUUGGCCAUUUUAAUUUUUCUUUGUUGUUUCCCGUCCUUAUUGAUAUGAUUCAUUUGAUAAAUACAUAUAUAUAUAGAUGAAAUUUAGAGAAAUUGUUUGUUUUUCUUAUGGAGGAGAAAUGGCAGUUGUGAUUACAUAACUAAAUAACCCAUUCUAGUCUUUUGUUUGGUACUUUUAUCUUGAAAUAGCCCACCCAAAUCAAUUCAUGAAUAAUCACAUUAAUUGUCUUUUUUUUUUUUUACAUAAUUACAACUAAGAUGGGUUUAUUUUUAUUUUUAUUCAAAAGAUACGACUAAGAUGUUAAAUUUUGAAUUUUCUCAUCAAUCCAUUAGAGGUGACCUAUGCUCCAAUCUUUUCUUACCAACAAUUUAGGCCUUAUAAGUGUAUAGAAAAUUGAACAGUGAAUAGGAUAGUUAGGCUUUGUAAAACUUACAAGUUACAUAGUCCAAACUCUGAUGUCUCUUCCGUUCCUGUCCUGCUUUGAUUUUACCCCCUUCUUUUCUCAAAUACAUUUUUCUACAUUGUCGUUUCUUCUUCUCUAACUCAUUUUUUCCAAUUAUAUAACAUGUCCGUAUGUACCAGAAAUACAGUGAGCGGAAUUCAUGGAAGUUUUUCCCUGUUUCAAGUUCUAAGGGGGGACACGAAACUUAUGUGACAGAAAUCAAAGGAUAACGUGUCUACAGUAAAUCGAAAUAAGAGUCUGGUUUUCAUUGAGUUCAACGUAUUCCUCAAACAGAAACACAGGGCCGUAUGCAUACUUCUACGACUACAGUAGUCAUCAUGCUAGAGGCAGAUGAAGUUGAAGUAGUGAUUGAUCCGAAGGACAUUGAACUGACUACUGCAAGAUCUGGGGGCGCAGGAGGGCGAAAUGUCAACAAGGUGGAGACAGCAAUUGAUCUUUCCCCAAGCCGACAGGAAACCAC